UUCACAGGUGUUGGCUCCCGGCUCUGGGUUUCCUGCCACAUAUUCCAUCCUUCCUGUGAAAUUGACACACCUGCAACUCAUCCCCUCAUCAGCACCACAGUAUUUCAACCCCGAUUUUCCAAUCACUCAUCACCAGUUCAACGCUUCUGCUAGACGUGUCGGCUCCUGACUUAAGCAACCUGCCACUAUGAAUAUGGACACGGAGAUGGCCAAGUGAGGGAAACCUUCGCAAGCCUCAGAGGGAGAGGCUUGAGGCCCAGACUUUAACCUUUGAUGCUAAGAAUGCCUGCUAUAUACCCGAUGUCAGAGUUGUACCUCAAGGGUCUGGUUGUUAAGAGAGAUGGCGGGAAGUGUGAUGUGAAAAUCCUUGCCCCUGAGGAGGUUAAAACCCUUCAAAGAAGAGGAAGUUGUGUGCAUGAACCCUCCUAAGUAUGACCUACCUCAAUGAAGCUUUUUUCCUGUAUAACCUCAAAGAGCGUUAUGCAGCAUGGAUGAUCUACACCUACUCUGGGCUCUUCUGUGCCACGGUGAACCCCUACAAGUGGCUCCCUGUAUAUGACAUGGAUAUAUGGAUAUAUGACAUGACAUACAAAUGCCAAGGAUAUUAUUCUGUUGUAUAAGGUGCCUUAGUAAGUUGACAUGUCAUUGUAAUUAUAACAGAGUUAAUCAAAGAUUUAAUAGUUAUAUAAAUCUAUGCUUACUUCUGCAAAAGACAUUUGGCAUAAAAAUAUUUUUCUACACAGCCAAUGGGCAUUUUCUCCAUCCUUGAAGAGGAGUGCAUGUUCCCCAAGGCUUCAUACACUUGCUUCAAGAAUAAGUUGUAUGACCAACAUCUUGGAAAGACUAAUGCAUUUGAGAAGUCUAAACUAGCAAAGGGCAAAGCAGAAGCCCAUUUCUCUCUGAUCCACUAUGCUGGUACAGUGGACUUCAAUGUCGCUGGCUGGUCAAGAACAAGGAUCUGCUGGCCACCAUUUAUGUUGCUCCCCCACCAUGCAUUACCAGGUAUUACACAAAAAUGCAUUCAUAAUAAAGUUAAACAGUUUCUGAUCUCCAAUCUGGCGUAUCUGUUCAACAGACACAACAAAGAAGGGAGGUUCCAAGCAGACUGUGUCUUCUCAGUUCAGAGGGAAUUUGGGCAAGCUGAUGACCUGUUUGAGAAGCACCCACCCUCAUUUAGUGCGUUGCCUGAUCCCCAAUGAGUCUAAGACUCCAGGUAUAACAGAACACAUCAUUUUACUCUGAGGAUCACCAGCCAACCUUGCCACCCUGCCAAACGCCUGCACAGCCUACCCUGCCUGUCCCAUCUGUUUUGUCACUGUCAUCUCCACUCUGCAAUAACCCAGGCAUUAAAACCUUUCUGGACCAUACCUCAUCAUUUGAUUAGUCUGUGUUGUGCGCUUGGGUCCACCACCGCCACCCCCGUUCAAUCUCUUUUUAUCAGAGUCUAUCGACACCAUCCAGUACAAUGUCGGCUCAUUCAUGAAUGUGAAACAGAAUGUAACCAGACUUCAGGACCUGGUGGAUAAGCUGCAGCUUAAAGUGAAGGCUUACAAGAGACAUGCUGAGGAGGCAGUGAGUCAUACAUUAAUUAAUAUGAAUGUAAUAUUACAGAAUUAGACUUGAUUACAAAGUAAAAUAGUAAUUAACCAAAACAGCCUUUUAAAAAUGUGAUGACCAUUCUGCCAAUCUUCAAACCUGCUCUCAAUGUCACCCAGGAGGAGCAGUCCAACUCCCACAUGUCCAAGUUCAGGAAGGUUCAGCAUGAGCUGGAGGAGGCUGAGGAGCGUGCCGACAUUGCUGAGUUUCAGGUCAACAAGCUCAGAACCAAGAGUCGGGACUCAGCACUGCACGGUCAAACUUAUAGAGACAGUUGUCAAUAGGUUGAAGAAGCUGAAUAGACAUGACAACAACCGGUCCCAAGACAGUGCUAUGUUUAAAAAAAAUAUGAUUUUCAUGGUGAUAUUUUGAGGAUUGUUUGAAAAUAAAUAAU